UUCUUUUUAGGAUUAUAAAUAGCAGAGCAUUUGCUCAGUUAGAGGUAAGUCUUCAUGAGUUGAAGCAAAACCCUCUCUUGUACCCAAAACUUUUGAAUUAUUUAAUAAAAACAGGUAUAUUUCCAAGGAAAAGCUAUGAAUCAGACAGCUAUGGAAAAUAUAGAAUUAUCAGACUUACCAGAACAGGAGCAAGAUGUACCUGGUGAUUCACAAAGAGUUGCAAAACGUGAUUCUUCUGUUACAUCAAAGGCAAACCUAAGAUUUGAAGUCUGUGGAUGCACCAAUAUUGUCAAAGACGCGCAUAAGCCUAGAAGUAAGACUCAAAAUGUGUUGAGCACUCGCCUCGCUUAAUGUGCAGCUUAGGUUCUAAUUUCUGAUACAUACUUUCCCUUGUCAAUGAGGCUUUCUGAGAAGACGAACACUAAACAAUUGAUAUUUCACUUUAUCAAAAAAAAUAAUUUUUUUUGUUCA